GGUACUAUUCUUCUUUUUUUGGGUAAAUCGCAACGGCGGUGGGAGUGGCUGCCAAAUGAGCAUGGCCGCGGGGUUCAAGUUCCUGAAGACGCGCUCCUCCGUCCUCUCCUGGAAACCGACGGGCAAGUUGCAACAAACUGUAGCGGAUUGCGUAGAGAGGACUGGUCAGGGACUGCACUCGGGCGACAUUUCGACCGUUAGGAUUCUACCAGCGGCUCCUCGCGUCGGCCGUUACUUCAUUUUCCAAUCGAAUGUUAUUCGCGCGUCAAGUGAAAAUGCUCUGAAGGAGACUCCUCUCUGCACCACGCUGUCCAAAGAUGGAUACAGCGUUAGGACUGUUGAGCACUUGCUCUCCGCUUUGGAGGCCUCUGGUGUUGAUAAUUGUCGCAUCGAGAUUGAGGGAUCUGGAGAAUGUGAUCGUUCUGUUGAGGUUCCUAUCUUUGAUGGAUCAGCAAGAGAAUGGGUGGAGGCAAUCGAGCAAGCUGGAUUGAAGGUGGCUGUAGACCGUGAUGGUAACAGUUGUGAAAAAUUAGCACCAUACCUCAACGAACCUGUGCAUGUGACCAAAAAUGAUUCUUUUUUAGCAGCAUUCCCUUGCUCAAAGGUCAAUAUCACAUAUGGCAUUGACUUCCCACAGGCACCUGCAAUUGGUCGCCAAUGGUUCUCUUCUACCUUGUUGGAUGAAUCUUUCUACUCCAAGCAAAUUGCUUCAUCACGAACCUUUUGCAUUUAUGAAGAGGUGGAACAUAUGCGGAACUUGGGAUUAAUUAAAGGGGGGUCAGCAGAAACGGCGAUCAUAUGUAGCAUGAGUAGAGGAUGGUUGAAUCCACCUCUGCGUUACGAUGACGAGGCUUGUAGGCACAAGGUUUUAGAUCUUAUUGGUGAUAUUUCCCUUUUGGCUCAAGAGGGUAAUCAAGGGCUUCUUGUGGCUCAUAUUGUUGCUUAUAAGGCUGGACACUCACUGCAUACUGAGUUUGUUCGCUGCAUAUCAGAAGUCAGUACUGCAUUUGCUUCUGAGGAGCUCACAACUUAGAAGCAAAGGAUCGAGUUAACGAAACUAUUGAAGAAGCGUAUGAAACAGGUCAAACAAUUUUUUCAACCGAACUAUUCUUAUAAUGCUGAUGAUAUAUCUCAUCACAUGCGGUAGCACGUGAAGACAUAUGAGAGUAAUUUGGUUAAAAAGGAUCUAUUUGAUCUGCAAUAAAUCCGUAAUAAGUCGAUUGAGGACCUCAGGGGCGCUGGAUGAUGUAAUUUUUCAAACCACUGGGAGUCUACGUGUAAUUGCAUCAAGACAACAUGUGGGUGAGUUGUAGGUUAUUAUUUUAGCAUCAAAUAUUUUUUCUUGUCCAAAAUAGAUUUGAUCAGACUAAACCAAUUAUAAAUUAAGUGUAAUAGAUCAUAUUUCCUUAAAAUGUACAUAAACAUGGUAAGUGUAUUACACUUAAUAUAUAACUAGUUUAUGUUAAGCUAAAUUCG